CUAGCGGCCUAGUUUUCAGGCUAACACGGGAAAUUAUCGAAUUCUGAAGAUUUCAGGCCCGAUUCUUUGUUGCAGGCAGAUUUCCAAGAUGGCUGCCGUGCGCAGAGGCUGCUGGGAUAGUGCUGCGGCAUUGUGGGACAACCAUGCAGGUGCUAAUCUGCAACUUUUCCUCAGCUGUGAUGAACUAAUGAGUAGACCGCCAUCUUGUCUGGCAUCCUGAGUUAAGCGGCAGGAGUUUUCGCUCAUCCAUUUUGGUUUGCCACGACUUGGCUUCACUGAAACUUUGAACUGAUAUAAGCUUACCAAGUGAAGGAAACGAAGGAAAGUCCGACGAUCACAGUUCC